rnacentral:rRNA from 1 species
CCAGCACCUGCGGUAAUUCCAGCUCCAAUAGCAUAUACUAGUGUUGUUGCGGUUAAAGCGUUCGUAGUCGAAUACGAUACUUGCAGGUCGCUAAGCGACCAGGAAGUUCCUGCUGGUAUAUCGCCUCGGAGGGUAUACUAUCCACGGUGAUGUAGCAGUAAGUUACCUUGAGAAAAUUAUGGUGUUCAUGGCAAGCAUGCGGUGCUCUGGAUGCAGUAGCAUGGGAUAACAACGCUUGGACUCCAACCCUAAGGGCGCCGGCGUCAGGGUUGCGAGGAAUGAUUAAUAGGAGCAGUCGGGGGUAGUCGUAUUCCAUCGCUAGAGGUGAAAUUCUUUGACCGAUGGAGGACGAACAACUGCGAAGGCAUCUACCCAGAAUGUUUUCAUUGAUCAAGAACGA